rnacentral:rRNA from 1 species
AUGAACCACACAAUGCAAGAACAUGCCCAAAGCGCGCAGAUGCUGAAAAGACAAACCAAAAGCCAGAAAAGAAACAGAAAGCAAAACCUAGAGCCAGCAACAAGAAAGUGGUGGAAGAUGAAGAGGAGGAUGAGGAAGACGAAGAUAAAGACAUCAUCGAAGAAGAGGAAGAGGAAGAGGAAGAUGAAGAUGAAGGGGAAGAGGAAGAGGAAGAGGAAGAGGAAGAUGAAGAUGAAGAGAAAGAGGAAGAUGAAGAGGAAGAGGCACAUGUCAAGCAAAAACCACUAUCAAGCAAAGCUUAGGAGGAGCGCAAGGCUGAUGAACAGUUAG